AACGGUGCCCAGGGAGACAGUCCAAUUAAGUUUACAAGCUGGCAAUUAGCAGGAAAGGCCUCUAAAUCCCUGCACUGAGAGCCUGCUUGCCUCCGUAGGAACAUAAAUGUGCUAAAGAUAGCAAGGGGAAAGCUGUGCUUUCUGGAAAGCUGUUGUGAGUAAACCCCACAAGGGAGGACUGAAGAAAAGCAAGGUAGAUGUGGGUAAAGUGCCUUCUGCUUGACAGCACAAUCGUAGAUGCAGCUGUCAGCCAUGGGCUCUUUGUCUGCAGAGAUGGAGUGCUCGACUAUGUGAACCCGGUAAGGCUCCUUGGUGCUGAAGCGAGCAUCGAGUGGAUCCCAUUCCGUACGGACGUAACUCUGAACCUGGAAAAAAUCCAAAACACUUUGGUUUCAAUGCACUGCAUUAUUCACCUACACAUUUUGAUCCCAAACCAGUGCUCUUCUCUGGACAUCUCCUCACCAGCGACAAGAAAAUCAUGAAGAUACACACAGUAAUCAAGCAUCUGAGAGAUGAAAGACUGAAAGCACUGUUAAAUUCUGAAGAGAGACUGGCCUUGAAGCUUAAGACAACAGAGAAGAAAACAUGGGAAUUGUGGAUUUUUCAACUCCAUAGGAGUGACUACUGGAAAACAGCAAUGGAAAUAGUAACAGAAAAAUAAAUGUUGUUAUCUGAUCAUUUGAAAGUCAGCAACCAAAUGGAAUACAAUUAAUACUUUUGUUCUGCCAUGAUAGAGCAAUAGAGGGACAAAAUGUUGCUCAUUACCUUGAAUUUAAAAUAAAGUAAAGCCUUCUAAUUUGGAAGGCCUAAUUUAACGAGCCGUGAGAUGAGAAGCUUCCUACCUGCAUGUAAUUUUGAAAGCAAAGUCUUGAAAUGAAGUCUUGGGUAGGGCUGGUUGCUGUAUGCAGAGAAAUUCUAUACUAGGGAAAUAUUCCUGAGAGGAGAGGAAGACUAUUUGCUGUAUCUCAAAACAGAUGUUUUAACAUACUGUUUAAACAAAUUAGGCUUAAAUGAAAGUUUUCUAGAGACUACUGUUCAUAUUCUGGCUGAAAACAAGAGAAACGCUUUUCCUUAGAUUGGAGCCGAUAAAGUGCUUCUCACGCAUCAGUGGCCUCAUUUGCCUCUUGGAGGAAGAGUUGCAAGCCUAGAGACCUCUUUGUUCUGGUUUCCUGUUUUGCUGAAUG